rnacentral:rRNA from 1 species
AUUGAACGCUGGCGGCAUGCCUUACACAUGCAAGUCGAACGGGAACGGGACUGCGGGUGCCGACGAGUGGCGAACGGGUGAGUAAUGUAUCGGAACGUACCUUUCAGUGGGGGAGAACGUAGCGAAAGUUACGCUAAUACCGCAUAUUCUGUGAGCAGGAAAGCAGGGGAUCGCAAGACCUUGCGCUGAUUGAGCGGCCGAUAUCAGAUUAGCUAGUUGGUGAGGUAAAGGCUCACCAAGGCGACGAUCUGUAGCGGGUCUGAGAGGAUGAUCCGCCACACUGGAACUGAGACACGGUCCAGACUCCUACGGGAGGCAGCAGUGGGGAAUUUUGGACAAUGGGGGCAACCCUGAUCCAGCCAUGCCGCGUGAGUGAAGAAGGCCUUCGGGUUGUAAAGCUCUUUCGGCCGGGAAGAAAUCGUAUGGGUUAAUACCCUGUGCGGAUGACGGUACCGGCAUAAGAAGCACCGGCUAACUACGUGCCAGCCGCCGCCGUAA